AAAGACAGCCUGCAAUCACUUUUACUUUUAGACUGUACACCUCCCGACCUCAACAACGCAGACAAUGAGCAAGGAAUGGGUAGCAUGCUUGAAAAAACAAGUGACAGAAAGUCCUUUUUAUUCAAAUGCAAUUAUUGGCUUUUUAAUGGUGGGACUUGAGAAACUCAUGGAGAUGGAUUUUGCAUGUCCUUGUAAUCCAGAGAUGAAUCGUCUGUUUUCUGCAGCGUAUUUUGUGAUUCCUGCUCUAUUUUCAAGCGCACUCAUGUUUUAUAUUCAAAGCCCACAAUGCAAAACAAAGCGUCUGAUCUCUACUGUGACCUGCAUCAUUCCAGCUUUGGUUUGGAUCAUGCUGCUAUUCUUUGAUGGACAAUACUAUGCCUGUGCAAGAACCUCAUGGGAAGGACUGACGGUUCACACCGAUAUAUCCGCUUCAACAACGUGGUGUCGGCCUUUAAACAAUCCUGACAAUAUCACUGAAAAGCAAAUUACAUUUUUUGGUUUUCGAAAUUAUUCUCAGAUAAUAGCACUGGCCCUGCUGGGUCUGAUUUCUACAGUUCUGUUUGGCUUUGGAUGUAAGACGUGCCGCGAGCAAGCAGGAACCAAAGAACCUGAAGCUGAACAAGUGGAAAUGGGAGUUGGUGCUCAAUGUUCAGCACCCCCUCCUGAACAAUCUUCAUUAAUUGAGGGCGAAAGCAGAAGCCGUGCAUCUGAACGGCUCUAAAUGAAGAAGCUUUUUUUUCUUAUUCACAUCUUGCAAAAAAAAAAAAUCAUUUAAUGUUCACAAAAUUUAAAAAAAGAAAAGGAAAUAAAUAAAAAAUGUUUUGCAGCACAUACUCAUCCAACUGUUCCACAAAGUGCAUUUGUUUCUCAGAAGUCUUGACAUGAUGGUGAGAAACCACAUCCUGUCAUUCAGUGCACUGCCUUAUGUAACAUGGUACAAUAUGCUGCUUACAUUCACUGAUUGUUAUCUUUCAUGCUAUCUUGUAAGUUUGUUAAAUAAAAUAAAAUACACUUUGCAACUGA